CUUGGACUGGUGUUUGUGUGUAGAUGCUGGGCUGCCUUGGCCACUCAUCUUCCCUUUUGGAACGUCUCUAUAUGACCUUGGACUGCUCACUCUUCUCUUGCUGACAAUUCCUGCAAUCUACAACCUCAGCUGACACCUUCACUUUGCCUAAUGGCCACAUGCAGCGUCUCAAUAGUAAUACUGAAGACAUAGAAAGGUUUUCCUACAGAUGCUAUUGUUCAAGAUGUCAGUCAAGAGAUUUGUGAGGCCAACCCCUUUGACCUGAAUUACUC
rnacentral:lncRNA from 11 species